rnacentral:tRNA from 1 species
CGCGGGGUAGAGCAGCCUGGUAGCUCGUCGGGCUCAUAACCCGGAGGUCGUGGGUUCAAAUCCCACCCCCGCUA